AAAAGUCGGAACGAGGAUUGUUACGGAAAACCUAAGCUUUUGAGGUUGAGCGAGGUCGGAAGGCGGAGGAUGUUGAGUGAUGUUAUCAAGAAUUGGUCCGGUUACUAUUACGUCUUCAUACGUAGUAGUAACUACACUCUCAAAUUGCUUCCGCUAUUCAAUGUCUUAAGAAACUCUGUUAUUUCCGUUAUUGUUAAACUCUGUUAUCUUUCAUUAUGAGACUUGGGUUUUGAAACGUUGAUUGAUUUAAAUGGAAUUUCCUCUUUGAUUGUUAA